rnacentral:rRNA from 1 species
GACGAACGCUGGCGGCGUGCUUAACACAUGCAAGUCGAACGGAAAGGCCCUGCUUUUGUGGGGUGCUCGAGUGGCGAACGGGUGAGUAACACGUGAGUAACCUGCCCUUGACUUUGGGAUAACUUCAGGAAACUGGGGCUAAUACCGGAUAGGAGCUCCUGCUGCACGGUGGGGGUUGGAAAGUUUCGGCGGUUGGGGAUGGACUCGCGGCUUAUCAGCUUGUUGGUGGGGUAGUGGCUUACCAAGGCUUUGACGGGUAGCCGGCCUGAGAGGGUGACCGGCCACAUUGGGACUGAGCUACGGCCCAGACUCCUACGGGAGGCAGCAGUGGGGAAUAUUGCACAAUGGGAUGAAGCCUGAUGCAGCAACGCCGCGUGCGGGAUGACGGCCUUCGGGUUGUAAACCGCUUUCGCCUGUGACGAAGCGUGAGUGACGGUAAUGGGUAAAGAAGCACCGGCUAACUACGUG